AACGCGAAGACAGUUCCGUACUCUUGACAUCCAGGGAAUUUAGCAGAGAUGCUUUGGUGCCUUCGGGAACUGUGAGACAGGUGCUGCAUGGCCGUCGUCAGCUCGUGUUGUGAAAUGUUGGGUUAAGUCCCGCAACGAGCGCAACCCUUAUCCUUUGUUGCCAGCGAUUCGGUCGGGAACUCAAAGGAGACUGCCAGUGAUAAACUGGAGGAAGGUGGGGAUGACGUCAAGUCAUCAUGGCCCUUACGAGUAGGGCUACACACGUGCUACAAUGGCAUAUACAAAGAGAAGCGACCUCGCGAGAGCAAGCGGACCUCAUAAAGUAUGUCGUAGUCCGGAUUGGAGUCUGCAACUCGACUCCAUGAAGUCGGAAUCGCUAGUAAUCGUGGAUCAGAAGCCACGGGAAUACGU
rnacentral:rRNA from 1 species